UACGUAGGGGGCAAGCGUUGUUCGGAAUUACUGGGCGUAAAGGGCGCGUAGGCGGCCCGGUAAGUCGGGAGUGAAAGCCCGGGGCUCAACCCCGGAACGUCUUUCGAAACUGCCGAGCUAGAGUGCGGAAGAGGCAACUGGAAUUCCCAGUGUAGCGGUGAAAUGCGUAGAUAUUGGGAAGAACACCUGAGGCGAAGGCGGGUUGCUGGGCCGACACUGACGCUGAGGCGCGAAAGCGUGGGGAGCGAACAGG
rnacentral:rRNA from 1 species